rnacentral:rRNA from 1 species
UGGGGAAUUUUGGACAAUGGGCGCAAGCCUGAUCCAGCCAUGCCGCGUGCGGGAAGAAGGCCUUCGGGUUGUAAACCGCUUUUGUCAGGGAAGAAAUCUUCUGAGUUAAUACCUCGGGAGGAUGACGGUACCUGAAGAAUAAGCACCGGCUAACUACGUGCCAGCAGCCGCGGUAAUACGUAGGGUGCAAGCGUUAAUCGGAAUUACUGGGCGUAAAGCGUGCGCAGGCGGUUUUGUAAGACAGAGGUGAAAUCCCCGGGCUCAACCUGGGAACUGCCUUUGUGACUGCAAGGCUUGAGUGCGGCAGAGGGGGGAUGGAAUUCCGCGUGUAGCAGUGAAAUGCGUAGAUAUGCGGAGGAACACCGAUGGCGAAGGCAAUCCCCUGGGCCUGCACUGACGCUCAUGCACGAAAGCGUGGGGAGCAAACAGGAUUAGAUACCCUGGUAGUCCACGCCCUAAACGAUGUCAACUGGUUGUUGGGAAGGUUCCUUCUCAGUAACGUAGCUAACGCGUGAAGUUGACCGCCUGGGGAGUACGGCCGCAAGGUUGAAACUUAAAUGAAUUGACGGGGUCAUAGCUGUUUCCUG